GGAUGCGAUCAUACCAGCACUAAAGCACCGGAUCCCAUCAGAACUCCGAAGUUAAGCGUGCUUGGGCGAGAGUAGUACUGGGAUGGGUGACCUCCUAGGAAGUCCUCGUGUUGCAUUCC
rnacentral:rRNA from 1 species